rnacentral:rRNA from 1 species
GGUGAGUAACGCGUGGGCGACGUACCCCCCUGCACCGGGACAGCCGGCAGAAAUGCCGGGUGAUACGGGAUGAGCUCUUACCCUGCGGUGGGGUGAGAGGAAAGCGGCUACGGCCGCGGGCAGGGGAACGGCCCGCGUCCCAUCAGCUAGUCGGCGGGGUAAAGGCCCACCGAGGCAACGACGGGUACCCGGACUGAGAGGUUGGACGGGCACAUUGGGACUGAGAUACGGCCCAGACUCCUACGGGAGGCAGCAGCUAAGAAUAUUCCGCAAUGGGCGAAAGCCUGACGGAGCGACGCCGCCGUGGACGAUGGAGGCCGGAAGGUUGUAAAGUCCUCUGGCGGGGGAAGAAGAAGCAGGGGAGGGAAUGCCCCUGCGGUGACCGUACCCCGAGAAUAAGCACCGGCUAAUUACGUGCCAGCCGCAGC